rnacentral:rRNA from 1 species
GGAAUCUUCCACAAUGGGCGAAAGCCUGAUGGAGCAACGCCGCGUGAGUGAGGAAGGCUUUCGGGUCGUAAAGCUCUGUUGCCAGGGAAGAAUAAGGGUGAGGUAACUACUCACCUGAUGACGGUACCUGAGAAGAAAGCCCCGGCUAACUACGUGCCAGCAGCCGCGGUAAUACGUAGGGGGCAAUCGUUGUCCGGAAUUAUUGGGCGUAAAGCGCGCGCAGGCGGCUCUUUAAGUCUGGUGUUUAAGUGCGGGGCUCAACCCCGUGAAGCACUGGAAACUGGGGAGCUUGAGUGCAGAAGAGGAGAGCGGAAUUCCACGUGUAGCGGUGAAAUGCGUAGAGAUGUGGAGGAACACCAGAGGCGAAGGCGGCUCUCUGGACUGUAACUGACGCUGAGGCGCGAAAGCGUGGGGAGCAAACA